GCCUAUGAUAAAUUGCCCUGUGAAUGAGGUGUAGAUUGCUCCAGGUCCCUUAAUUUCAGGGGAGAACCUACUUGGGGUCCUACAUUGGUAUGAGAUAUAUGGCUCUUACUGAGGU